rnacentral:rRNA from 1 species
GAUGAACGCUAGCUACAGGCUUAACACAUGCAAGUCGCGGGGCAGCAUGUUACUGGCUUGCCAGUAAUGAUGGCGACCGGCGCACGGGUGAGUAUCGCGUAUCCCAACCUUCCCAUAUCCACGGGAUAGCCUAGCCGAAAGGCAGAUUAAUACCGUAUGUUGUCGCACGAUGGCAUCAAAAUGACGACGAAAGGCUUAGCGGAUAUGGAUGGGGGAUGCGUCCGAUUAGCUUGGACGGCGGGGUAACGGCCCACCGUGGUGACGAGUCGGUAGGGGUUCUGAGAGGGAACGGUCCCCCC